CGGGAGGACGUUGACCUCGGUGUGAUUCAUGACUGGGGUGAAGUCGUAACAAGGUAGCCCUAGGGGAACCUGGGGCUGGAUCACCUCCUUAUACGA
rnacentral:rRNA from 1 species